GGCUCAGGACGAACGCUGGCGGCGUGCUUAACACAUGCAAGUCGAACGGUGAAGGUGGGAGCUUGCUCCUACCGGAUCAGUGGCGAACGGGUGAGUAACACGUGAGUAACCUGCCCCAGACUCUGGAAUAACCCCGGGAAACCGGAGCUAAUACCGGAUACGAGACGAAGCUGCAUGGCUAUCGUCUGGAAAGUUUUUCGGUCUGGGAUGGACUCGCGGCCUAUCAGCUUGUUGGUGAGGUAAUGGCUCACCAAGGCGACGACGGGUAGCCGGCCUGAGAGGGCGACCGGCCACACUGGGACUGAGACACGGCCCAGACUCCUACGGGAGGCAGCAGUGGGGAAUAUUGCACAAUGGGCGAAAGCCUGAUGCAGCGACGCCGCGUGAGGGAUGACGGCCUUCGGGUUGUAAACCUCUUUCAGCAGGGAAGAAGCGAAAGUGACGGUACCUGCAGAAGAAGCACCGGCUAACUACGUGCCAGCAGCCGCGGUAAUACGUAGGGUGCGAGCGUUGUCCGGAAUUAUUGGGCGUAAAGAGCUUGUAGGCGGUUUGUCGCGUCUGCCGUGAAAAUCCGAGGCUCAACCUCGGACUUGCGGUGGGUACGGGCAGACUAGAGUGUGGUAGGGGAGACUGGAAUUCCUGGUGUAGCGGUGAAAUGCGCAGAUAUCAGGAGGAACACCGAUGGCGAAGGCAGGUCUCUGGGCCACUACUGACGCUGAGAAGCGAAAAG
rnacentral:rRNA from 2 species